GCGCUAAUAGCUCAGUUGGGAGAGCGUCAGACUGAAGUCAUUCGGUCCUAUCCAUAUCCGGGGUAAUCUGAAGGUCACCCGUUCAAUCCGGGUUUGGCGCA
rnacentral:tRNA from 1 species